GAUGAUACAUUUUUAAUUUAACAUUGCUCAGCAUUGUGCUGCUUUUAUUCACAUACAUUUGCAUAAAAAAACUUAAUUCUUUUAUGGGUGUUUGAAAUUUUUGGGUUUUUUUUUUUACUCUGCUAUUUUAAGUAAACAUUUCCAACUUCCAAUAUUAACCAAGGUUUUUAGUGGAAAUUUAUUUUUAAGCUGUAUGUAUUUAUAAUUUAAUUCUAUCGGUCAUAAUAUUAACUAGUUUAAUUUUGAUUUGAUUUCUUUUUGCAGGUGAUUCUGUCCACUAUGAGUACCUCAGAAGCCUUGAAAAGACAGAAAAUAGAGCAGGAUAUGAAAAUGCAGAUAAUUCUUUUCAGUAUGAACCAAUGAAAGACAUUAAACAAAAAGAAAAUGAGGCGUCAUAUGAAAAUAACAUUUAGGAGCUUUGAUGACAAAAGCAGCAGAAAAGAUGAACUGAAACCAUCCAACUGAAGAAUAACAAGACUCUGCUAACUCACAAACACAAGAAAUCCUGUUUAUUAUGCAGGAAGCAAUAGAAUAACAUUCAUCUUUCUUCACUUUAAACUUUUUUGUAAUCAAUUUUGUUAAGAGGUAUUGGAGUGCCAUUUGACUCUUAACAAAUAUAAUUAUGCAGAAUUUAUUCUUCAGUUUUGAAAAAUGUGAAAAGAAUCUGAAGAAGGGUAAUGUGUUCCUGACGCCGCGCCACAUGUGAGAGGAGC